rnacentral:rRNA from 1 species
GGGACGAACGCUGGCGGCGUGCCUCAUACAUGCAAGUGGAGCGACGAACCAGGAUUUAUCCUGGGGCAAAGCCGCGAACGGGUGAGUAACACGUGGGUUACCUGCCCCGAUGAUUGGGACAACCCGAGGAAACUCGGGCUAAUACCAAAUGUGUUCUUGGUCGUGAUGACCAAGAAGAAAGGAAGCCUCGGCCUCCGCAUCGGGAUGGGCCCGCGGCCCAUUAGCUAGUUGGUGGGGUAAUGGCCUACCAAGGCGACGAUGGGUAGCUGGUCUGAGAGGACGAUCAGCCACACUGGGACUGAGACACGGCCCAGACUCCUACGGGAGGCAGCAGUAGGGAAUCUUGCGCAACGCGCGAAAGCGUGACGCAGCAACGCCGCGUGGGGAAGAAGGCUCGUCGGGUUGUAAACCCCUUUCAGUUGGGACGAAGCUUCGUCGGUUAAUAGCCGGCUGGAGUGACGGUACCUUCACAAGAGCACCGGCUAACUACGUGCCAGCACGCCGC